GAUGGACGCUGGCGGCGUGCCUAAUACAUGCAAGUCGAGCGAACAGACGAUGAGCUUGCUCCUCUGACGUUAGCGGCGGACGGGUGAGUCACACGUGGAUACCCUACCUAUAAGACUGGGAUAACUUCGGGAAGCCGGAUCUAAUACCGGAUAAUAUAUUGAACCGCGUGGUUCAAUAGUGAAAGACGGUUUUGCUGUCACUUAUAGAUGGAUCCGCGCCGCAUUAGCUAGUUGGUACGGUAACGGCUUACCAAGGCAACGAUGCGUAGCCGACCUGAGAGGGUGAUAGGCGACACGGGAAGGGGGACGCGGACAAGAGUCCUACGGGAGGCAGCAGUAGGGAACCGGACGCAACGGGCGAGAGCCUGACGGAGCAGGGGGGAGUGAGUGAUGAAGGUCUCGGGAGCGGAAAGAUCUGUUUCGGGGGAAGAACAAAUGUGGAAGUAACUGUGGAGGGCUUGACGGUACCUGGUAAGAAAGCCACGGCUAACUACGUG
rnacentral:rRNA from 1 species